AGUACUCAUUUCUCAAUGAGUACUUUGAUAUUCUUACCCAGAAUAUCUGGCAACACUGUUGUGUUACCACAAACCCAAUUUGAGUAUUCUCGCCUAACCAUAUGAUGAUGUAAACAUUUGUACCGCGUUUAUCAUCAUCACUUGUCAUCAGCAAUCAUUGAUCCAUUGUUCUCGAUUGCGAAUUGAACAACAAGAAAGAGGAACCAAAACAAACAAUGGUUUUGGUUCUGCUCGCAGCAGAAAUCAGUUGCUGCUGUAAACCUAAAGGUCGUCAGAAGGAAAACAGAACUGUAAGAAGCGAGCAAAAACUUCCGGAGCAGGAUGAUAUUAUCAAAAAUUAAACUGGUAUGGUCUUCCCAGACGGCCAUUGAAAUCUGAUGGAAGAAAAUCGGAUGAUAAAUUCUCUGUGUGAUAAAUAUCAAUACGCAAAUGGGCUCAGUCGCUGUCUAAAUGUUGACUCCCGACGUAAAUCAUUUUCCGAAGGAACACUAAAUUACGAAGAAAGUUAACGAAAAAAGAUUUGAAGAUUGGUUAGAAAACUCUGACCCGGAAAUGCUCCAGCCAUGGAAGAGCAGCUUUCGGGCUCAGACGGAUUCCGUUACUUCUCUGGGUAAUCAGAAUUCGAGCCACAAUUUGUACAUCUACCCGGGCUGGCCACUUCAACCGGAUAAGUAAAUGCGAUUCCGAUGUGCACUAUAAAAUAACCGAGGAAAUACGAGUAAUUAUCCCGGGCUUCCGUAAAACGCCAGAUUCUUACUUUUGUUUGUGGUUCUAUAUCUACAUGCCAUUAGAAAACUUAGGUGUGCUUGAGUGUUCAGCAAAGAGAAAGGCACUGGAUAACAUUUUCUCUACCAGUGGGUCUGGAAAUAGUCCGAAAUUACGGUGACGUCGGUCAGAAACUGAUGCUGAGGCCUCGUCCCCUAACCUUCCAGUAUAGUUCGAACAUUAGCUGGUAGGCGCUUAGUGGUCACAUUUGGGGCACCUUCCGAAUGAAACGCAAGAAUGAGCAUGCGUUCAAUUUCCUCAAUUUUAUUUUUUCUUCUCAUAAUAGUGAA